GGGAUUGGAUCCACCUGAUCCGAGGUCACAUUCAGAAGUUGGGGGUUUAACGGCGUGGCCGCGACGAUUACCAGUAACGAGGGUUUUACUACUACGCUAUGGAAGCUCGACGUGACCGCCAAUCAGUUUGGGGAACGCGAAUUAACGCGGGUCCCAACACCAAGCUGUGCUUGACGGUUGAAAUGGAGCUCGGACAGGGAUUGCCACCAGAAUUGUGGACUGGCCGAAUUGAGCGUACCAACAUACCAUGAUUCGCUGAUUGCGGCAAUUCAGUAUUACUGACGGCAUUGUGCGGGCCUACUUCCUCUUCGCCCCACCCGAGAGAUCUGUUGUUGAAACUUUGGAUUAAUUCGGGUUUUAACUCAAAUUGUACAUACACAACAGAGUUUUUAGGGUUCCUGGGAGCCCCCCCUUUUUUAACGGGACGCGGGCUUCACCCCCCAAGCCCAAAAUUGGAAUGUUCACAGGGGUUUGGGAGUUGUAACCCCGUGAACGAUCCCUCAUCAGGUUCACGCAAGAAAAGGAUCAUUACGGAGUUUACGACUCCAAAACCCUGGUGGACAUACAAUUGGUGCCUGGGCGAAACAUCGCUCCGGUAAAAAGGGGACGGGCGGCAGAGGAACCCUAAACUCUGAUUUCGAUGAUGGAAGCUUCGGAGUAAGACCAUAAAAUAAAGUCAAAGCUUUUCAAGAAGGGAGGACUUGGGGGUCUAGGGAGCGAGGGAAGGAGGCAGCACAAGGGGGAGUAAGGAA
rnacentral:rRNA from 1 species